rnacentral:miRNA from 1 species
GCCUAUCGGCCUAAAAGUUGUC